rnacentral:rRNA from 1 species
UACAGAGGUCCCGAGCGUUGUUCGGAUUCACUGGGCGUAAAGGGUGCGUAGGUGGCUUGAAAAGUUUGAUGUGAAAGCUCAGGGCUUAACCCUGAAAUGGCAUUGAAAACUGUCGGGCUGGAGGUUUGGAGGGGGGACUGGAAUUCUUAGUGUAGCAGUGAAAUGCGUAGAUAUCAAGAGGAACACCAGUGGCGAAGGCGAGUCCCUGGACAACACCUGACACUGAGGCACGAAAGCUAGGGGAGCAAACAGG